rnacentral:rRNA from 1 species
AACUACAGCCAAAUUCCACUGACUAAACCUGUUCUCGUCCGUUCACAGAAGAAAAACAGUAUCAGGCCUGGUCAGUACUUGGAUGGGAGACCAUCUUGGAAUUCCAGGUGCUGUACAGUUU